GAUGAACGCUGGCGGCGUGCCUAAUACAUGCAAGUCGAGCGAACGGACGAGAAGCUUGCUUCUCUGAUGUUAGCGGCGGACGGGUGAGUAACACGUGGAUAACCUACCUAUAAGACUGGGAUAACUUCGGGAAACCGGAGCUAAUACCGGAUGAUAUUUUGAACCGCAUGGUUCAAAAGUGAAAGACGGUCUUGCUGUCACUUAUAGAUGGAUCCGCGCUGCAUUAGCUAGUUGGUAAGGUAACGGCUUACCAAGGCAACGAUGCAUAGCCGACCUGAGGGGGUGAUCGGCCACACUGGAGCUGAGACACGGUCCAGACUCCUACGGGAGGCAGCAGUAGGGAAGCUUCCGCAAUGGGCGAAAGCCUGACGGAGCAACGCCGCGUGAGUGAUGAAGGUCUUCGGAUCGUAAAACUCUGUUAUUAGGGAAGAACAUAUGUGUAAGUAACUGUGCACAUCUUGACGGUACCGAAUCAGAAAGCCACGGCGAACUACGG
rnacentral:rRNA from 1 species